rnacentral:rRNA from 1 species
UACGAAGGGGGCUAGCGUUGCUCGGAAUUACUGGGCGUAAAGCGCACGUAGGCGGAUUGUUAAGUCAGGGGUGAAAUCCUGGAGCUCAACUCCAGAACUGCCUUUGAUACUGGCGAUCUCGAGUCCGGGAGAGGUGAGUGGAACUGCGAGUGUAGAGGUGAAAUUCGUAGAUAUUCGCAAGAACACCAGUGGCGAAGGCGGCUCACUGGCCCGUAACUGACGCUGAGGCACGAAAGCGUGGGGAGCAAACAGG